GAAGUAAGGAAAAAAGAAGAACGAAGAAAUUCAUAAUUUCAAAAAACAAUCAACAGGCAGAAAAAAAUGGGAUCUGUUUCUUAUUUAUACUCAUACAUUGGUUGUAAUUUUAACCACUUUGGGUCAAAUAUAAGUUUUACUCUGAUUGUUACGUGUGAACAAGCUUAUGAAGUUCCUCUUCUCAUGGUAUAUCCAUGCAAAUGGAAUAUAUUAAAAGGAAGUUUUUUCAAUUGAAUUUCUUCAUUGUUAUCGCAAAUAUUAUCGAUUAAUUUUGUCUUCAAAAAACUUGAAAAAUUCCUGAUUUGGUUUUUAGCAACAGGAUAUGGAAACGUAACACUGAAUGUGCUUAAAUAAUAAUAAAUAUUUAAAAUCUUCAACUAAAUAAUUUUUCAACUAAUUAAUUCAGGUUUUAUUAAAAGGAAUGGUUUACAAGAGAGUAUUUAAUUACACUGGAAAGACCAUUGCAAUUUCGAGAUGAAACAUCAUGAUUUUCUGAAAAUACAUAUAAACUUUAAAAGUUUCUUUUAAGACCUGCAUCAAUUUUUGGAAUCAAUGUUGACUAAUUUACGUAUUACAGUCAAGGAAUAUUUUUUCAAAACACAAUUAAACAAAGAUGAAUUUUUCUCAUGCUGCCUGCUCUCAACUUUCUUAUAAUGAAAGAAAAAGAUAUUUUGUAAUUAUACAUUCCGUCUUUGUUAACAGAUGUGAGAUGCCAGAGUAGGCAUACUCACCACGGAAUCUCAAAUUGAUUCGAUCAAAUGUAAUCAACUGUUUUUGAUGGACACUAUGCAGUAUUUCAUGAAAAAUUUUGAAUUUACGAAAGAUAUUCUGUAGAAAAGGUAUUAAAUAGGAAAUUACAUUGAAAUGGAAUUUUUAAAGAAAUUAUUAAUGGACUAUGGAACACGCAAUGAAAUUGAACUGUUCUGCUAGAAGAAACAAUUACAAAUGCGAAAACCUUACAAAUCAAGAAAAGAGCACAAUCUUUGAUAUAUUUUGAAUGUUUGCCAAUGAUACUAAUUUGGAUUGCAGUUUCACCAUUUGAAUUUCGAGAUAGAUGGUAUUCAAAAAUGGAAAAUUUAACUACAAUAUUUACUAUAAUAGUAUUUCAUUAAUUUUAUAUUGCUUAUGCCACAUUUGUUAUCGAAUACGGAAGAAGUA